rnacentral:lncRNA from 1 species
CAGAACUUCAAAAGAGGAGGUAGUAGAAGAAUUUGUUUUUUAAAGUUAAAAAGGAUAAAAAUUAAAUACAUAUAUAUGGAAAAUGUUGAAAAUUAUGAGAGUUGGGGCCUCCAGUCCAGCCCUGUUCACGCCCUUGUAUGGUCACAAGAGGAUGAAGAGGUGGUAAUUUUUCUAAGAUUUCCUUUCACUUAAUAGAAGGAAGAUAAUUUAAUUUUCAUCGAUUGGUUUUCGAAAGAUUAGAACCCCUCAGCCUUAAGUCUUUGCGGUUGCGUAGUCCAUUUCUCCUCCAGUCUUUUGGAAUUUAAUAUAUCAGUUUUAGAAAUUCAAGGUUACUUCGAUUAAGAAACUCAAAAACAAUCCCCUUGGGUUAUCUCCUUUCCUUUCUGAUUAUGGCAUGUUCUUCACUAGCAGAAGCUCAUGAACAUUUGGUCCACCUACUAGCAGUAAAUUCAUAAUAAUCUCUCGUUAUAAAGGACAUAAUAUGAUUAUAAAGAAAGAAAGAAUAAGAAAAGGAAGAGGAUAUGAAUUGCAAAAGUAUCUUCAUAACUGCAGAACUUCUAACAACAAUACACUGAUAAUUUAAAAUAAAAACACCACAGUGUAUAUUAAUCAAUCCUUUAACAGGACUACUACACGAAUAAAAAGAUGAAGAAGAAGAAGGCUAAAACAUGAAGAUGCGGACUGCUGAUGUUAAGCAAGGCGACGCAUGACAUAAGUUCUACGAGGAGGAGGGCUGCAGAUGACCAUUAGAGCUAAAGCAAUCACCAGAGCCAUUAAGAGUCCCGUAAGAUCAACAUCGCUGCCUUCGCUUAUCUCCGAGCACACCAAUUUCCCCAUCUGAAAUCCAAAGAUGUAACAAUACAGGGGUGGGGUGUCUCCGAAAUUGAAAUAUGUAAUGAUCGAUACAAGGCUUAUGGCUUCUUUUAAAAUUGCGGUCCGCAGUCAAGCCUGCAUUGGAGAAGAGAUGAGAAUGCGAAACUUCUCUUUUAAAAGUCAAAUCAAUGAAAAUAUAUGAUAAAUGGCAUGACUAACCAUAUGUUUAGAUAUUGACUCUACAUUUUAUCUAUUCCGUGUCUAUUGCAUCUAAGGAUGGGUUACACACACCUCCAUCUUGGAGCAGUUAGACUAGUCCUAUCCUAUCAUGGAAUGAUGGGUUUACCGGUCACAGCCCGUAUAUCGCUACUGGACACAAGAUACCUCAAGUAUGAGCAUGCAAUGAUCGGAACGAUCGUCACAACACUCAACACAGGAAGUGUUGUCUUGAUCUUCUUCCCUAAUUUCAAUCUAUCCCUCAGUGAUCCUUAUCUUCCCACUACACUAAAAGUUCAAGUCCAGAUAACAGGAGCGAAUCAAGUCGAUAACGCUCUCUCUGCAACCCUACACCAUCAGAUAGUUUAUAGACUACAGGAUCAUGCAUUGAAUCUACAGAUCCCAGGCUUUCAAGCCUCCUCUGAUGCAUUGUUCAUUAUGGCCGACUCUGGCCAGAUCCCCACUAUUGUCCAAGCUCCCAGGCAGCUGGAAAAGGAAGAUCUUCAAAAGUUGAUCCCGACUGAGUGGGUCACCAACUACGAAAAGCUUCAGGCAUCUCAAUCUAAGCCUGUUCAAGCUACAGAUCCUCUCUUUAUCAAUCAAAGAGAUGGAACUGUCAAAACGAUCUUCACAAAGACUGGGGAAUCUUCUUCAGCUCCAUCCUUCUUUCAAGCAUCCAUGAUACAACCGGUAUCAAGGCCAAGGGAAAAGAUCCCUAUUCAUUCAUUCCAGUCCUCUGGAAACCAGAUCUACGCCGCCCAAGUCAAAGGACACUUCGUCUGGGAUGUUGCCCCAAAGAUGUGCCGCCCAGGAUGCACUUGUGAUAAUAGCUUAGACUUUGCUGAACCUUGCUUUCGGCAUCCAAAAAGGAAUCCUCGAAACAUGUCACCGGACACUCCAUGUUCAGAAAGGAGAUCAAAGCCGGAUGACCGGGAUCCAGAUGGUUCCCAAAAGCAACAGACAAGUAAAACACCUCUCCCAAUGUUUGAUGAGGCCAUCGAGUUCCUUGCAAAAGAAGGAAAAACAGUCAUUGAUAUCUCUUACGAUGAAUUCAAGGUACUAUUGGCUCAAUUUAAGGUCGAAUAUGGAAAACCCCCUUCUGCAACCUGCAGAAAAGAGAUCCAGAAAGAUCUAAGAGUUUAUAGGCUGGAAAAUGAAACCUGCAAGAGCUUAGCUCCCACAGGGUUUGAAACCACGGUUUCGGUUACAACGCCACGAAUUUCUAGAUGUUCUUCAUCUCUGUCUUCCAUAUCAGCGGUUUAACCAGCAAUUCAAGAGUGCUACAUGUUCCAGCCAGAGGAUUUCCCUCCUUUAGGAAAAACGGAGAACAAGAGAUCAGAAAUUCUUCCUUUAAGGAUUUCUCCCUCUGGAUCUAUAGAGCCCCUGACACCUCCAAAAGAGGUGCUAAACUGGCAAACCUACAACUCGAUAGUCCAGAAUACUUAUCUAAAAAAGAUAGAUGGGAAACUGGACCAAGCUUUACACCUGGCUCAAAAACUGGAUCAUAAGUUGGAUACUUUCUCACAAGAAGUACUCCAGCUCCACUCAUCGCUCACUGCAAAAUAUCAAGCUCUGGAUAGAGAGCUUCGGAUACCUCAGCCCAUUACUCCCGCCUUCAUACAAAAGGAAAAGGAGAUCACACGGCUGAAGAAACAAAUAGAUCAAAUUGAGCAUGAUCUUCGGAGAGACCAGUCUACUAUAAUUCCAUCCUUUACUUCAGCAGCCUCCACAUCAUCUGCUAUUGCUCCUUCGUACUAUUCUUCAUUCCUUUUUCUUUCACAACCAGAACAGCCACAAGAAACCCUUUAUCAGCCAUUUGACACUUUCUCUCAUCUUUACCCAAAACACCCAAAAAACCUAGAAAAGAAAACCUCUCCUCCUCUAGCCUGUAAAGAAAAAAUACCAGAAAAAUCUCUCAUCAGUCUGUAUGAUUCAGAAUCCUCUUCGAAUACUUCAGAGAUGGCGGACAUCACUGAGAUUCUCAUGAACACUUCUACUACUGAUCCCAGUCCAGAAAUAGUGGAACCUAAGGAUGAGGAUGCUCAGUCAUUCUUUACUCCCACUGGAGCUCCAAACCCAAGGUCAAAACCAGCUAGCACGGGACCUUGGUUCACUUUUGAUGACCUACCCCCAUCGAAAUGGAAGGACAAGCUUUCCAAAUUCUUGGCAUGGAUUGAUCUUCAGAUGACCCUUGAAGGGGCCACACUCAAAAAGGUCCUUGCCGAAUUUGUCACAAGAUUUACCGGAAGCUUAAGAGAUUGGUUUCAGUCUCAGCCUGAGUACACCAGGCUCCAAUUUAUCACUCUGCCAACUCCAUCAGCAGCAGUAACAAUCCUCCAUAACCAGUUCCUUGGGAGUCAUGACCUUGUCAUAAGACAGCAGAAACAAGAGUUCUUUGAUCGAAAAUGUUGUUCAUUAAAAAUGAAGGAUCUGGAAAAGCACUAUUCGGCUAUGUCCAAACUCUACUAUGUCAUUGGAGGACAUGAUGGUGACGAUACACUAAAGUAUACCUUCAUCACCUCUCUGCCGGAUGAAAUACAACCUGAGGUCAACAAUAUGAUUGCGGCAACAAAGAGACCAGUCACCUCUAUUACACUUGGCGAAAUCUGGCAAUUCACACUCUCUUCCAUUAAGAGACUGUGUGAUCAACAAGAGUUAUUCAAAAGGUUAUCUCAAAGGGACUUGAUAGUCCAAAAGGCUUGCAACAAGAACCACCUCAAGAUUAAGUGCAAAGCCGCCAACUGCGUCUGUUCAAAUCAUAAGAAGAAAUCUGGACAUCAUUUCCAGAAAUACACGCGCAGCAAUAAGAAGUUCAGGAAAGAGAACUUAAAGAGAUUCAAAUACUUCCGUAAGAAACGGAAUCAAGGGUACAAGUCUGACAGAUGUUUCAUCUGCAAAAGAAAGGGACACUAUGCAAAAAAUUGUCCAAAGGAAUCCAGAAAAGUCAGCAAAGAUGAUUCAACAAGUCAGCAUGUCUUUAUCUCUUCCAAACUCUUUUGAAGCGGAGAUAGAAUCUCUACUUUCAGAGCAAGAGGAUCUUACCCCAAAAAGCUUAUUUGGGUUGGAAAUGGAGUUCUCAGACUCCACAGAGUCCUCACAAGAAUCUUCUUUAGACUCAGACGAUAGUGAGAUACCAAUCUUGAUGAUUGGUCUGCGCGAAGAAAGUCAGGAGAAUAUUCUAGAAGAUGUAAUACAAUAUCCUCUCUCUCCAACCCUACUGUCUUCUUUCUUUGUUUCUUCUCCACCUCCUGAAACUUUUCAAUUUACUACAAAACCCCCUCCAGUUCCAUAUAUUCCCAUACAGAUCCUACCUUCAAAAUACUCCAAGCCUGUACCAGUGAUAGCUUUCUUUGACACUGGAGCACAAAGAAGCAUGAUGAACCAAAUGGUUCUCCCAUCAGAGUAUUAGAAGCCCCAUGAUCAGUUCUUUAGGGCAGCCAAUGGUCAAACCUUCAAAACCACUCUGAUCACAAGACAAAGGAUCGGAAUACAGUUCUUUCCUGAUUGCGUUGUAUGGACGCACAUCAUUGGUUCAGAUCUUCCAAAUAAGGAUAUCCUAAUAGGGUUUGAUGUUUAUCAUCAAGCUCAAAAGCUCCAAAUUCUUCCAACUGCAUAAAGUUCAAGAGACAGUUUCGGUCAUACACUAAAACUUCAAAUCUGUUUUCUAUGACAGACACAAUUCUACCAUUCCUACCAUACAUAAAAAAAUUCCUUCAGUUUUGUCCAGAAUCUCAUUCACAUUUUCAACACCCUCUUCCUCUGUGGAAAAAUCCACAAUUCUAUAUCAGCCUCCCCUUCAAACUUAAUGAAGACAUUAACCCUACUAAAGCCACACACAUGGGAAUGUCACCCACAGACCUAGCCCUUGCCCGAUCAGAAUGCUUGACACUGUUACAGCAAGGCCUAAUUGAACCCACUACUUCACAAUGGGCUUGCCAAGCCUUUUAUGUGGAAAAAAGGUCUGAAAUGAUUAGGGGAAAAAAGAGGCUUGUCAUAGACUACAAGCCCUUAAACCAUUUCCUUCAAGACAACAAAUUUCCUCUUCCUCGGAUCUCAAAUCUCAAAGUCCAUAUCCAAAAGGCCCAAUACUAUUCCAAAUUUGACCUAAAGGCGGGCUUUUGGCAACUCGGUAUCCAACCCACAGAGAGAUACAAGAGUGGACUGUUAUGCCCUUUGGGCUCAAGACGGCCCCAUCUCAAUUCCAGAAGACCAUGAUUGAGAUUUUUGGGCCUAUCCUUUACUCUUCUUUGAUCUACAUCGACGACAUUCUACUAUUCUCAGAAACAGCAGAGGACCACCACCAACUGUUACAACAGUUCUUUACCAUCAUCCAGAAAUAUUGCAUUAUGUUGUCAAAAAAGAAGAGCACUAUUGGCCAACGAGAAAUUGAAUUUCUCGGUAUGCAUUUCAAGAAUGGCCAGUACACAUAUGGUCCCCACCUGACAAAGGAACUUGAUAAUUUUUCAGAAGAGAAUUUAUCAGUGAAACAAAUUCAACAGUUCCUUGAAAUCCUAAAUUAUGUUCGAGAGGCCAUUCCACACCUGUCUAGUUACACGUGCCACCUCUCAAAAAUGCUCAAGAAGAACCCUCCUCCAUGGGGAGCGGAACAAACAACAGCCGUCAAACAGUUAAAAGAGCUGGCUCACAAUCCGCCACCUCUCACAAUUCCGUCAACAGGAGAACUUAUUCUACAAACAGAUGCAUCUGACUAUGCAUGGGGGGCCAUCCUCCUAGAAAAGCUCCACGACAAGGAACAAUUAUGUGGAUAUGCAUCGGGUCAGUUUUCCUCUUCAGAAAAAUAUUAUCACACGACCUACAAGAAAAUUUUGGCGGUCAAGUACGGGAUAAAAAAGUUUGAAUUCUUCUUGAUUGGACAGCACUUCUUGGUUCGGAUGGACAACUCCUCCUUCCCAAAGAUUCUUGAAUCCAACCAGAAGACCUUGCCUGAGCCCCAACUACUGCGAUUAAAGUCAUGGUUCAGCAGGUAUGAUUUUAAGGUUGAGCAUAUAAAAGGGAUAAGAAACCUAAUCCCGGAUUUCUUAUCCAUAAUUUUCAAACCUCAGAAUCAGCCUAUAGUCCUUCUCACCUCUACCAUAAAUCUUCCCAUAAUUUUUAUGGCUUCUUCAUCUUCCAGAACCAACCUGCAACCUCCUUCACCACCAGAUCUUCCCAACAACCUCACAACCAAACAAGUCACUGACUUUGCCCGGAACAUGAUGUUCCAUUAUUUGGCAACUUUUNNNNNNNNNNNNNNNNNNNNNNNNNNNNNNNNNNNNNNNNNNNNNNNNNNNNNNNNNNNNNNNNNNNNNNNNNNNNNNNNNNNNNNNNNNNNNNNNNNNNNNNNNNNNNNNNNNNNNNNNNNNNNNNNNNNNNNNNNNNNNNNNNNNNNNNNNNNNNNNNNNNNNNNNNNNNNNNNNNNNNNNNNNNNNNNNNNNNNNNNNNNNNNNNNNNNNNNNNNNNNNNNNNNNNNNNNNNNNNNNNNNNNNNNNNNNNNNNNNNNNNNNNNNNNNNNNNNNNNNNNNNNNNNNNNNNNNNNNNNNNNNNNNNNNNNNNNNNNNNNNNNNNNNNNNNNNNNNNNNNNNNNNNNNNNNNNNNNNNNNNNNNNNNNNNNNNNNNNNNNNNNNNNNNNNNNNNNNNNNNNNNNNNNNNNNNNNNNNNNNNGCAACCCAGAAUAUCUGUUACCAUUGGAGAACACUUAAUAGUCAUCUACAUCUUGCUUUGCCAGCAAUCACAGAAGACCUAAAACAGGCCCUGCAAUACAGAAAUGAAUCAAGGAUGACUAAUGUCUCAACACCAUUAGUAUGCACAUUCAAUGGACAUCAAUCAACUAGACAAUCAUGUUUCUCUAAUCUUCCGACCCCACUGGAUGAUCCUACCUUAACCAGAGCACGGCAAGAAGCUCUCAUGCAAGAUUCCCAGCCAAUGGAUGAUGAUCAAAAUGAUGACAUUUUCUAAGCAUGUGAAGCUGUCGGCCACUCCUAUUACUUUGAAGUAAAAUAUUAGAUAUUAUUGUCCUAUUAGGCAUGUGAGUGAAGUGAAUUAUUGUAUUCUGUCAUAUAUGUGAGUGGAGUGAAUUAUUGUACAUAGUCCUAUUAGGCAUGUGAGUGAAUGAUGAGUCGUCCUUAUUGUCUUGUAAGUGGAGUGUGAGUGGAGUGAAUUAUUGUACGUAGUCCUAUUAGGCAUGUGAGUGAAUGAUGAGCCGUCCUUAUUGUCUUAUAAGUAGAGGAUGAGUGGAGUUCCCACUAAGCCUCCUUUUGUACUCUUGUUAAGACUCUUCUCCCUAUAUAAGGGGAAGUCAUUUUUGAAUAAAAGAUCAAGCAAGUUUUCCAUUAAGCAAUUUCUUACUCUCUCAUGGCCUUCUAAACUCUUCCCCUCUCUUCUUCUCGAUCCAAUGGCAAUGAACUAAUAGUUGCUACGAUCUAUUUCUGGUAUAAUCCAAAAGGGCUAACUCGGCUAUCGAAAUCCAAAAGAGCAGAAAGACCCCCAUGGCGAGGUGCCUCUUUGUGGUCUUAGCUUGAGGAUACUCACAUGCCUUGAGUUUACAGCAUGAGGACUAUGCCAUGAACAGCUCUCGGCUCCCUUUGGUAUCAGUAAUAUAUAUAUUAAAGGUGUUUUUUAAUUUUAUAAAUAAGAAUGACUAGCAAUAUAUUGAACUUUUUAUAUUUUUUCUUCGUUAUACCAAGUGUUAUUAAUUAUAAAAAAAAUAAAUAAUAUUUAUUACUUUUAAGAAAUUUAAUAUUUUAUGAAAAAGUUGAUAAAUAUAUGAAAAAUACUAAAUUUUUCAUAAUCAUGAAAUGUAUUGCUAAAUUACAAAAAGUAACAAUCAUCUUCAUAUUUUUUCAUAGAUUAUACUAAUUUUUCAUAAGUAUUAUUAGUUACGAAAAAAUAAAUGAUAUUACAGAAAAUGAUUACUGUUGCAAAAUUUAAUAAUUUACGAAAAAACUGAUAAAUUUACUAAAAGUAUUAUAAAUUUCUUCAUAAUUGCGAAAUAUAUUGCUAAAUUAUAAAAAAAUAAUAAUCAUCUUUAUAUUUUUUCACAAAUUAUACUAAUUUUUCAUAAGUGUUACUAGUUGCAGAAAAAAAAUAUUUUUGCGAAAUUUAAUCAUUUACAGAAAAACUGAAAAAUUUAUAAAAAAAUAUUAAAUCCUUUCGUAAUCGUAAAGUAUAUUGUUAAUUCUUUUAAAAUAUGUUCACAAUUUACACUAAUUUUUAUAAGUCAAACUAGUUGCGAGAAGAUGAAUAACAUUACAAAAAGAUGAUAAUUAUUACAAAAUCUAAUGAUUUAUAAAAAAAAAUCAAUAAAUUAAAGAAAUAUGUUAAGUUUUAUCAUAAUCGUAAAAUUUAUUACUGGAUUACAAAAAUUGAUAAUUAUCUCCAUAUUUGUUCGUAAAUUAAAUUAAUUUUUUAUACGUUUUAAGAGUAUGAAUUUCUAAAAAUACCUCAUUUUAGUUGUUAACAUGUAAUUAAAACAAAAUAUGUUUAAAACAAAGUAAAUUGUAGAACUAAUUUCUAAAUAACUUUCGUCCAAUAAUUGGAUACAAGUAACAAUACCCAAAGUAGGGAGCAACCAAGAAUUUUCCAUUAUGGAUUAUUUAUCAUUAACAUUUGAAUGCCCCAGCGUAGAGUUGAAGCUUUUGUAAUAGUAAGACUGUAGGGGGCGGCUGCUAAGUGAAAUGUGCGCUAAUGGGAAAAUAUUAAUUAAAAUUAUUAAAGACCAAGACUACUACCAGAAUGAAACCAAAACACAACCAGUGGCUCAAAUUCAACUACCUAAUUUGUUUUGCUUUGUCAUUUAUGUACGUUUAGACUUUUAUAUAUUUUGCUAAUUGUUUAAUUAUAGUUUCUACUGCCAUUCAUGGUGCAGUUUUGAAUUUAAGCUUAAAAAAGUGGGCUACUGUCUGAACUGGAACUCGCCAUUAGUCGGAGUGAAUAGUUUUUCAUCAGAAUUAAUCAAAUCCUUUAAAUUUGAUGGCUGGAUACUUUUUCUAAGUUAGCUGUGUAAGGAAGCAAAGUAAGAUAAUGCCAAUAUGGGCUUAGGCUGGAUACUCUUUUCUUUAACAAAUACUCAGCUCAGCCUUAAUUCUGGACUAUCUUAUGAGUCAAUAUCCCUUAUUGUUCAAGGCCCUGCAAGAAAGGGAAACAAGAUUUUACCAAAUGACCUGAGUUAUGAGUCAAUUUCAUCACUGUACAUACUUGCACUAUACACUUAAUUCCCUCCAGUUAUUAGGAACCAAUUGAUGAGCAAAAACUGUUGUUUCAACUUUAUUGUAAAAACAUAAUAUCCAUUAAGCUUCAAAUAAUUAGAUACUGCGAGGAUGGCCAAAAAGUGGAGGGUAUGGUAACAAAAAUCAUGGACACCAUUAUUCUUGUAGCCCAGAAGCCACCAUGUAACAAUCAUUGAUUUUGAUUCCCAUAAAUGAAUUAAGAGGGUCACCUGUAUUGGCUCUGUUUUUCAAGGAUUUUUGGUGGCAAUCAAUAGAUGUGGGCCAUUUUUACCAUUUUUUUACUGAAGCAUUUCUCUAUAACUAUUCAUGCAAUGCUAUAAUAGUAUCAUUCAGUUACUGUGUCUACUCAUGAUGGAAGUAGUGAAAGAAAAAAAAAGAAAAGAAAAGGGGAAAUCAGAGAGAUGAAAUCAGCAUUCAGCAACAAUCAUAGUAACAGGGAAUAUACAUGAUGAUGGAUCAUAAAUACACUAAACGUGUGGCCAUCAUAUGAGUAAGGAUUAACUUUGAUUAUUGCCCCACCUAAACACAGACACACAUACACAAGAUUUAAUACUCUUUCUUUUCACUAACCUAACCUUUUUUUUUUCUAAUUAUUAUAUAUAUAUAUGGGGUUAUUAUCUCUUCUUAGUCAGUAUGUAGGUGUGGCAGGAAGUUGGGAGGGUAUUUGUGAUGUGUUAUUAUCUAUAUGUUCACAUAUGCCCCCUGCUUUUAUUAAUGGCAUUCAUGACUUGAUUAUGUAUUAUUUGUGGCUAUAAGCUAAAGUAACAAUCAAGGGAAUUGAAUAAAAACAAGGGCAUUAAAUAAAACAAGUACUGUUAGCCUGUUAGCGUUGCUGGGUCACAAGAGAUCAGGUAGUAGAAGUGGUGGAAGUGUAGUAACCAAAUAAGAGGAGGGAAGAAUUUCCCACAGAAAAGAAAGAGAGCGCCAAAGAAGCAAAAGUUAUGGACAUUCACCAAUGUCACUAAAUCUAUCACAUGGCACAACAGUCGAGAAGAGGAAAAAAUUAAAAGAAAAUGGGAUGAAAGUUACCAUACCUGAAGGGCAGAGACCAGGCCACCUACCAGAGAAUAAAACCCUUUAUUUUCC